UGCCGUAUAGUUCAAUUGGCAGAGCAUACGCCCUGAUCAGGCAAAUGAUGGUUCGAGUCCAUCUGCGGCAGCCU
rnacentral:tRNA from 1 species